CUGAUGGGAGAUUCUGGAGUGACGCCUGAGACAGCUUUUUCCAACACCCUUUCUUGUAGAGUUCCAGACACUUGUAGAAAUGAUCACAAGGGAUUCACUGAACUCAUUCUCAUCGACCUCAUCAAGAUAUUUGAUGAUAACAAGCUAGAGGACCUGAGCCCUAGGACCAUGCCCCAGGACUACCUGACAUGAUGACUCCUUGCUGUCCCCAGUCCACCUGGCCGUGCUGCUGCUCCAGUUUCAACUGUUCUGCCUUAUUAUUAUUCGACCAUGCUGGUCAUUUAUGAACAUUUGAACAUCUUGGCCAUGUUCUGUUAUAAUCUCCACCCGGCACAGCCAGAAGAGGACUGGCCACCCCACAUAGCCUGGUUCCUCUCAUGGCCUAAUAGUUUAUAAGCAUUUUACGCUGAACUUUCUGAUCUGUUCUGUCAGCCACAUUCUGUCCGCCACAUUUUUUUGAUGCUAGUGGCUGUAAUAAUUUGUGAUCUAUUGCACCCCACAUCUGUCCCAGACUAUGAUUGGAAUAUUUAUUUCUCGCAUAGAAUAGGUCAGCUUUUGUACUAUGGGGGAUAGUAGAUUGACAUAAGCUAGUGCUUUUGCUGUUCUUUAGUCCAUUGUGUUGGCUGACAAAGUAAAUGUGGACAGUUUUUCCAAUCUUCAAUAUGCACCUCGGAUUUGAAAGGACGAGCUAUCAUGUUUCAGGUUAGACCCAGAUGCAGACAAUGUCGAAGUAUCAAUAGUUUAUUAAUCAAACAGGGGCAGGCAAAAAUCAGGUCAAGGGCAGGCACAGAUCGGUGAUCCAGAUAGGUGGGGCAAAGGUACAGGACGGCAGGCAGGCUCAGGGUCAGGGCAGGCAGAAUGGUCAACACCAAGAAAACUAGGAAACAGGAACAAUCAAGAGAGAGGAGCAGAGGGGAAAAUGCUGGUAGGCUUGACGAAACAAAACAAACUGGCAACAGACAAACAGAGAACACAAGUAUAAAUACACAAGGGAUAAUGGGGAAGAUGGGCGACAACUGGAAGGGUGUGGAGACCAUCACAAAGACAGAUGAAACAGAUCAGGGAGUGACGCGCGCUGUUGCAUCUCCGAUGUGUCUUUCUUCACUUGUAGCCUGUGAUGGAGAGCCAUGUAAGUGAGAGGCGCUUUGGAUUGAGUAGCACUCAGCGAGAAGUGCACAAGCCAGCACUCUGGGCCUCAAAAUGCAUGCAUUUCUUUAGUGUGCAUUACGACCACAAAGGGGAUGCCGCCGUUAAAUUCAAUGCAUUAUCAACUGCUUGUCAAAUUGUGAAUGAGAGACUAUUGGAGUGUGUACAGCCUGCUCAAAAAACUAAGCAGUGCUCAUGGCUUUCAAAUGUCUUUCUUCAAAUCAUUUUUAGAGUCUCAUCAUGCAGCCUUACACGGAAUCCAAACCGGCUGCGUGCGUGCGCUAUCGUGCAUAAAAUUAUUUUGUCCCUCCACAACAAACGCGAUCAUGACAUGCAGGUUAUAAUAUCAAAAAAACUAAUUACAUUAAUUUGGGGACAGGUCGAGAAGCAUUAAACAUUUCUGGAAAUUUAGUUAGCUAGCUUGCACUUGCAUGCUAAUUUGUUCUAUUCAGCUAGCUUGCUGUUGCUAGCUAAUUUGUCCUGUGAUUUAAACGUUGAGUUGUUAUUUUACCUGAAAUGCACAAAGUCCUUUACUCUGACAAUUAAUCCACACAUAAAAUGGUCAACCGAAUUGUUUCUAGUCAUCUGUCCUCCUUCCAGGCUUUUUCUUCUUUGAACUUAUAUGGCGAUUGGCAUCUAAACUUUCAUAGUAUUACCACAAAGACCGACAGCUUAGUUUGUCUUUCAAUCACCCACGUGGGUAUAAACAAUGAGGAGAUGGAACGUGUGUAUCUGCUUCUAUAAACCAAUAAGGAGAUGGGAGAGGCAGGACUUGCAGCGCGAUCGAUCUGCAUCACAAAUAGAUUUUAGCUCUUGACAACGCAGAUGCUUGUUAGCACGUGCGAGCAGUGUGGAUACUAUACUUUAAUAAUAUACAUUUAUAAUUUAUUUUGCAACGCUUUCGCACACAACACGAGCGGUGUAGUCAGGGUAUUACAAUGUAUUAAAAAAAAAGUAUAGCCCAACGAUUGUAGAAGAACUAAAGUUACAUUAAUAACUCUAAAUUAAGCAUAUAGAAGUACCUAUUUCUUUGUUAACCGCUCAACACAGAAUAGCCACAUGUGUGCACUCCAUGACAUCUUUUGGAGAAAAUAUUUAUUUAAUUUAACUUUGUUCAAUGGUAUUCUUCAUACUAUAAAAUAUAAAAUAAUGCCACGCAAAUAUUGUAUUCUUAAUGAACUAAUGUAGCCCACAGCCAUUUGACAUAACCACAUCAGGACCUAACAUAAGGACAACUCAUAGUAUGCUAUUCUUUUCUUCUGAAAUGGACUAUUUUCUUCAUAUCAUGCUUCUUUAGAGGUGUCUAGAAUAGAUAAUUAAUUUAUUGUGAAGGUGUAGGCUAUAUUACAUGGAUUUAUUAUACUUUUUUUAAUAUAGAUGAUCCAAAGUUAUGCAUCAGUGGCUUGGUGGCUAUGUGUGGUAAUCAGAAGAUGCUAAAUGUGUUUGUUAAUUAACGUAAUUUCGUGACCGUCACAACCCUAAUUAUACCACCCAUAAAAUCAUUUAAAGCUGCACUGUCUGUUGUGGAUCAUCAUUCUCCCAAGUCGUCCUAUAAUAACGUAGCCACAUAUGCUCCCAGCAGGCCAAAUCAUUCCGGAAAGCCUUAACGAAAUAUUUGGAAUUUCACUUUUAAAACGUAAUACCAUUUAUGUGUGGCAUAAAAACAACCAAUCUGAUUAGGCUACUUCAAAAGUCUACUGUAGGCUACCCUGUUUGCUUUCAUCCCAAAUAUAAUUCCAGCAUCCAAACUGCAGCGGCCCCGGGUCAGUAAUGGGAUUCUUCUGUUGAAGGAGAGGAGGACCAAAAUGCAGCGUGGUUGAAAUUCUUGUUUGUUUUUUAAUAAGAAAACUAUACAUGAAUAAACUACAAAAACAACAAACGUGUAAACCCGAAACAGCCCCGUGUGGCACAAACACUGACACAGGAGACAAUCACCCACAAAACCCAACACCAAACAGGCUACCUAAAUAUGGUUCCCAAUCAGAGACAAUGACUAACACCUGCCUCUGAUUGAGAACCAUAUCAGGCCAAACACAGAAACAGACAAACUAGACACAACAUAGAAUGUCCACUCAGAUCACACCCUGACCAAACAAAACAUAUAAACAUACAAAGCAAACUAUGGUCAGGGUGUGACAGGGUCGGCCCUGGCCCGAGGCAUGAUUUGGUUUUGUUCCCCGCCCCACCUCACGGGCAAAACAUUUUGGUGCCCCCCCAUAUAUACAGAAAAACCUGUUGUUGUAAAGUUAGCAUCAAAAUGUUGAAAAUCUGAUUUCCACUUAGCUGAUGAUUGUCUGCAGCCGGUUCUAAGCAGCCGUCUCUCUCGUAGUGUAAUGAAACCUUCUGGCCCUGCGUGGCAACGACUGUGCCACAAAAGCAUGAAGAAGUGUCUAUGUCCAUUUUUUUAUAAACACCAGGUCGCUAGAGUUAUUGUUAUUUGUGGGUAAUUCAAAUUAUUUUGAGAUAACAUCCUGCAGGAAAAAUAUUGAACAACUCAGACCACCAGUCGUUGUUCUUGAUCAUUAAUGAGAUAAAUCAUAAAGGAAAAUAAUGUUCUGUAAAUUACAUGAUUCCACAAACUACAUGCAACAUAAUUUAUUGUUCAGUUGGAAGUAAAUGAUUUUUGGGCAAUAACCUGUGCAGCGUUUGAAGAUCAAAGUUUGCUUGGCUUAAAACAGAAAUGUUUGCUCUGAUGAAAGAGUAGGCCAGAGUAGCACUGGCCCUGGUUAUCAGCCCUGUCGCUCUCUGUCUGGGGCCAGAAGCACUUUCACCACACACAGACUCACACACUGCACGCGGGUACGCAGGCACAGACACAUGCAGAGGCGUGCAUGUGCUCACACAUACAUUAGAAUACACAUGGGGUCAGAUGAGCUGAUUCAGAAAAAGAGACUGGAUUAAA